rnacentral:rRNA from 1 species
CACGUAGGGCGCGAGCGUUGUCCGGACUUAUUGGGCGUAAAGAGCUCGUAGGCGGCCUGUUGCGUCCGCUGUGAAAGCCCGGGGCUUAACCCCGGGUCGGCAGUGGAUACGGGCAGGCUAGAGGUAGGCAGGGGAGAAUGGAAUUCCCAGUGUAGCGGUGAAAUGCGCAGAUAUCGGGAGGAACACCGGGGGCGAAGGCGGUUCUCUGGGCCUUACCUGACGCUGAGGAGCGAAAGCGUGGGGAGCGAACAGG